rnacentral:rRNA from 1 species
UACGAAGGGUGCAAACGUUGCUCGGAAUCAUUGGGCGUAAAGCGCACGUAGGCGGCUUCGCAAGUCGGAUGUGAAAUCCCUCGGCUCAACCGAGGACGUGCAUACGAAACUGCGAGGCUUGAGUGCUGAAGAGGAUCGCGGAAUUCCCGGUGUAGAGGUGAAAUUCGUAGAUAUCGGGAGGAACACCAGUGGCGAAGGCGGCGAUCUGGGCAGACACUGACGCUGAGGUGCGAAAGCGUGGGGAGCAAACAGG